rnacentral:lncRNA from 1 species
CCAUGGCUCUGCAUUACUCCGGGGCCCUGGGCCUCAAACAAGGGCCACGAGGUGACCAAGAACACAAGCAAGCCGAGGCAUAGCCGCUGGCACGAACAUCCCACCAAGCACACCAAGUUCAUGGGAGAUGUGAUCUGAGAGGUAUGUGGCUUUGCCCCACGCAACAUGCCAUGGAGCUGCCACAGGUCUCCAAAGACAAACAGGCCCUCAAAUUCAUCAAGAAAAGGCCAAGGAGGAGGAAGAGAGAGGAGCUGAGCAACAUUCUGGUCAUGGCUUCCAUGAGGAAAGUGGCUGCCAAGAA